ensembl:Y_RNA Y_RNA Y RNA
UGCUGGUCCAGAGAUAAUGAGUUAGAUCAGUUGAUCAUAGUCAGUUAUGGACCAAGCUCCUCAUUCUAUUCUUUCUUCCUUUCUCACUAUUGCACUUGACUAGUCUUUA